CAGGACGAACGCUGGCGGCGUGCCUAACACAUGCAAGUCGAGCGGGGACGAUGCGACGGAUCGGAAGUUUCGGAUGGAAGAGAAGAUGUAUGUUCUAGCGGCGGACGGGUGAGUAGCGCGUGAACAAUCUGUCCUCACAGGGGGAUAACACAGCGAAAGUUGUACUAAUACCGCAUGAGACCACGUCGGGGCAUCCCGAAGGGGUCAAAGGAGCAAUCCGGUGAAGGGUGAGUUCGCGUCCGAUUAGAUAGUUGGUGAGGUAACGGCCCACCAAGUCGACGAUCGGUAGCCGACCUGAGAGGGUGAUCGGCCACAUUGGGACUGAGACACGGCCCAAACUCCUACGGGAGGCAGCAGUGGGGAAUAUUGGGCAAUGGGGGGAAACCCUGACCCAGCAACGCCGCGUGAGGGAAGAAGGUUUUCGGAUCGUAAACCUCUGUCCUUGGUGAAGAGAUAGAGACGGUAGCCAAGGAGGAAGCCCCGGCUAACUACGUGCCAGCCGCCGC
rnacentral:rRNA from 1 species